rnacentral:tRNA from 1 species
GAUAAGAUGGCUGAAGUUUAGGCAGUAAAUUGUAAAUUUAUUUAUGGUUUUUUACCUCUUAUCA